UACUCUAGGGGUUGAUAAUUCGGCUCGUGUGCCGAUGAAGAACCCAGCAAGCUGCAUGACUUCAUGUUAAUUUCAGGACUUUUGGAACAUCUACAACUUAAACCCACAUUUCGGCUUCAGGUCAAUCCUAGAGUCACGCCUGUAUGAGGGUCG
rnacentral:rRNA from 1 species